GCCCGCGUAGCAGAGUGGUCAAAUGCGUAAGACUUAAGAUCUUAUCCCGAAUGGGUUCGUGGGUUCGAACCCCACCGCUGGCA
rfam:Naegleria gruberi genomic scaffold NAEGRscaffold_42, whole genome shotgun sequence.